rnacentral:rRNA from 1 species
UACGAAGGGGGCUAGCGUUACUCGGAAUGACUGGGCGUAAAGGGUGCGUAGGAGGGCAGGUAAGUCAGUGGUGAAAUCUUUGGGCUUAACCCGAAAACUGCCAUUGAUACUAUCUGUCUUGAAUGCGGUGGAGGUGAGCGGAAUAUGUCAUGUAGCGGUGAAAUGCUUAGAUAUGACAUAGAACACCGAUUGCGAAGGCAGCUCGCUACACCUGCAUUGACUCUGAGGCACGAAAGCGUGGGGAUCAAACAGG